CCUACGGGUGGCAGCAGUGGGGAAUAUUGGGCAAUGGGCGCAAGCCUGACGCAGCAACGCCGCGUGAAGGAAGAAGGCUUUCGGUUUGUAAACUUCUUUUCGCAGGGACGAAGAUAGUGAUGGUACCCUAGGAAUAAGCCACUACUAACUACGGUCCAGCAGCCGUGGUAAGACGGAGGUGGCAAGCGUUAUCCGGAUUUAUUGGGUGUAAAGGGGGUGUCGGCGGGAGCGCAAGUCAGAUGUGAAAACUCAGGGCUCAACCCUGAGCCUGUAUUUGAAACUGUGUUUCUUGAGUGCAGGAGAGGCAAUCGGAAUUCCUAGUGUAGCGGUGAAAUGCGUAGAUAUAAGGAGGAACACCAGUGGCGAAGGCGGAUUGCUGGACAGUAACUGACGCUGAGGCGCGAAAGCGUGGGGAGCAAACAGGAUUAGAUACCCCGGUAGUC
rnacentral:rRNA from 1 species